GAUGAACGCUAGCUACAGGCUUAACACAUGCAAGUCGAGGGGAAACGACAUCGAAAGCUUGCUUUUGAUGGGCGUCGACCGGCGCACGGGUGAGUAACGUGUAUCCAACCUGCCCACCACUUGGGGAUAACCUUGCGAAAGUAAGACUAAUACCCAAUGAUAUCUCUAGAAGACAUCUGAAAGAGAUUAAAGAUUUAUCGGUGAUGGAUGGGGAUGCGUCUGAUUAGCUUGUUGGCGGGGUAACGGCCCACCAAGGCGACGAUCAGUAGGGGUUCUGAGAGGAAGGUCCCCCCACAUUGGAACUGAGACACGGUCCAAACUCCUACGGGAGGCAGCAGUGAGGAAUAUUGGUCAAUGGGCGAGAGCCUGAACCAGCCAAGUAGCGUGCAGGAUGACGGCCCUAUGGGUUGUAAACUGCUUUAUAAGGGAAUAAAGUGAGUCUCGUGAGACUUUUUGCAUGUACCUUAUGAAUAAGGACCGGCUAAUCCGUGCCAGCAGCCGACGG
rnacentral:rRNA from 1 species